rnacentral:rRNA from 1 species
AAAUUGAAGAGUUUGAUCAUGGCUCAGAUUGAACGCUGGCGGCAGGCCUAACACAUGCAAGUCGAACGGUAACAGGAAGCAGCUUGCUGCUUCGCUGACGAGUGGCGGACGGGUGAGUAAUGUCUGGGAAGCUGCCUGAUGGAGGGGGAUAACUACUGGAAACGGUAGCUAAUACCGCAUAAUGUCGCAAGACCAAAGAGGGGGACCUUCGGGCCUCUUGCCAUCGGAUGUGCCCAGAUGGGAUUAGCUUGUUGGUGGGGUAACGGCUCACCAAGGCGACGAUCCCUAGCUGGUCUGAGAGGAUGACCAGCCACACUGGAACUGAGACACGGUCCAGACUCCUACGGGAGGCAGCAGUGGGGAAUAUUGCACAAUGGGCGCAAGCCUGAUGCAGCCAUGCCGCGUGUAUGAAGAAGGCCUUCGGGUUGUAAAGUACUUUCAGCGGGGAGGAAGGGAGUAAAGUUAAUACCUUUGCUCAUUGACGUUACCCGCAGAAGAAGCACCGGCUAACUCCGUGCCAGCAGCCGCGGUAAUACGGAGGGUGCAAGCGUUAAUCGGAAUUACUGGGCGUAAAGCGCACGCAGGCGGUUUGUUAAGUCAGAUGUGAAAUCCCCGGGCUCAACCUGGGAACUGCAUCUGAUACUGGCAAGCUUGAGUCUCGUAGAGGGGGUAGAAUUCCAGGUGUAGCGGUGAAAUGCGUAGAGAUCUGGAGGAAUACCGGUGGCGAAGGCGGCCCCCUGGACGAAGACUGACGCUCAGGUGCGAAAGCGUGGGGAGCAAACAGGAUUAGAUACCCUGGUAGUCCACGCCGUAAACGAUGUCGACUUGGAGGUUGUGCCCUUGAGGCGUGGCUUCCGGAGCUAACGCGUUAAGUCGACCGCCUGGGGAGUACGGCCGCAAGGUUAAAACUCAAAUGAAUUGACGGGGGCCCGCACAAGCGGUGGAGCAUGUGGUUUAAUUCGAUGCAACGCGAAGAACCUUACCUGGUCUUGACAUCCACGGAAGUUUUCAGAGAUGAGAAUGUGCCUUCGGGAACCGUGAGACAGGUGCUGCAUGGCUGUCGUCAGCUCGUGUUGUGAAAUGUUGGGUUAAGUCCCGCAACGAGCGCAACCCUUAUCCUUUGUUGCCAGCGGUCCGGCCGGGAACUCAAAGGAGACUGCCAGUGAUAAACUGGAGGAAGGUGGGGAUGACGUCAAGUCAUCAUGGCCCUUACGACCAGGGCUACACACGUGCUACAAUGGCGCAUACAAAGAGAAGCGACCUCGCGAGAGCAAGCGGACCUCAUAAAGUGCGUCGUAGUCCGGAUUGGAGUCUGCAACUCGACUCCAUGAAGUCGGAAUCGCUAGUAAUCGUGGAUCAGAAUGCCACGGUGAAUACGUUCCCGGGCCUUGUACACACCGCCCGUCACACCAUGGGAGUGGGUUGCAAAAGAAGUAGGUAGCUUAACCUUCGGGAGGGCGCUUACCACUUUGUGAUUCAUGACUGGGGUGAAGUCGUAACAAGGUAACCGUAGGGGAACCUGCGGUUGGAUCACCUCCUUA